UCGUUCUUCUUGUCCUUAUCCAGCACUGACACUUCUCGUCCACUCUUCACCCCGUUUCUCAUCCCCUAUCUCUAGCGAGUGGCCAAAUCAAGCCGUCGGAGAAAUCACCUCCGCUCCCAUGCCCCCAUGCGCUGCUCCUCAUUCUUGAAUCAAGCCCUCUCAAUUUCUCAUCUCGCCCUGUCUCCUAACUCUAUUCAUCAGCCACGCCGACCGGAAUUCCCUACAAGCACCGGCGGGCCGGCGCCACCGCACCCAAAACUCCCUGCCACACUGCAACCUGAGUUGGCGGAAGUUGGAACUUCCAUCUUGUCGAGCUGCAACCGGGCAACAAAAGAGUUGCAACGGGGCGAGCGGUUUGCGAGUCGUGUCGAGGAUGCUGGAACCGUCGACGUGAGGUGCUACCACAUGCGUUUGGUUUUGCUGGAGCCAAUAUUCUUUUUUGCUACCAUGGGUGUUUGGUUUUGCUGGAACCACCGCCAAAUUUGCAAGUUUGCUACCACUGACUUUCUGGUUUGCUGGAACGAGCUUGAUUUUUUGCUACAUCCGUGUUUUUCUACUUUUGCUGGGGCACAGUUUCCAGUUUUUAUUUCACAAGUUUUGCUACCACUGUCUUCUUGUUUUGCUGGAUCCAAUGCAUUUUUUUGCUACAAUCGGGUGGGUGGGAGCUGCAUCGUCAGCUCCUGGCUGGAACCAGCAACGCGCAUAGCUGCUACUGGAGAUUUUUGCUUCAAAGGCGAUGGGACCUAGAGAUGCUGGAACCAAAUUUCUUCAUGAGUCCGCAGCGGGCCUGGCGAGCGGCGACGGCUAGCCGGUAAACGGUCCCGGCCAGCCGACGAGCGGUGGCCACAGAGCUACAACCAUCGCCACCGGGAGCUGCAACUGCGUGCUCACGUUGCUGACGAGAAACGCAGGCGGCGACGGCAGUGACCGGUGAUGAUGACGGCGACCGGCGGCGAGGGCAGCGACAGGGGAGAGGCGCGGGGAAGUGCUCCGAGGCUGGUGCGUCGUCAUCUAUGGAGGCUCGUUGGGAACUUUUUUUAAAUAAAGAAUGUCUGUAUAUAUAUUUCGUGAAGGAAAAAAUGCAGAUACUUAUAGCAUGCAUCCAAAUACAGUACCACAAGGACGACCAUGCAUGGAAGAGCAUGACGAUUAUUUUCCAUG